rnacentral:rRNA from 1 species
AAAACAUCACCUCCAGCAUCCCUAGUAUUGGAGGCACUGCCUGCCCAGUGACAACCGUUAAACGGCCGCGGUAUCCUGACCGUGCAAAGGUAGCAUAAUCACUUGUUCUCUAAAUAGGGACUCGUAUGAAUGGCCACACGAGGGUUUUACUGUCUCUUACUUCCAAUCAGUGAAAUUGACCUUCCCGUGAAGAGGCGGGAAUGCACUAAUAAGACGAGAAGACCCUAUGGAGCUUUAACUAAUCAGCCCAAAGAAAAACAAACCAAACCACUAAGGAAUAACAACACUCUUCAUGAGCUGACAGUUUCGGUUGGGGUGACCUCGGAGAAUAAAAAAUCCUCCGAGCGAUUUUAAAGACUAGACCUACAAGUCAAAUCGCUCUAUCGCUCAUUGAUCCAAAAAUUUUGAUCAACGGAACAAGUUACCCUAGGGAUAACAGCGCAAUCCUAUUCAAGAGUCCAUAUCGACAAUAGGGUUUACGACCUCGAUGUUGGAUCAGGACACCCUGAUGGUGCAACCGCUAUCAAAGGUUCGUUUGUUCAACGAUUAAAGUCCUACGUGAUCUG